UUUUGUUAGCUAAUGGAGGAAAGCGAAGAGGACUAUUAUUUAGAGAAAUAUUUAGCCGAGAAUGAAUUAAGGUCAGAAGCUCUGAGACGGGAAGCAGAAGGAUUUACUGAUGGUUUAAUAAAAGGAGAAGAGUCUGUUUUACAGUUAUCUUUCGACGCUGGCUUUAAAGAUGGUUUUUCAAAAGCUUAUAAAAUUGGAAGAUUAAAAGGUUUAAUUAGCACUUUUAAAAAUGUAAAGCCUGAUGCGACGGAUUUUGCGCAGUUUGAUGGUGUAGUUAAACCUUUUGAAGUUAUUGAAGAAUUAAACCUUGCAGAAGAUUUACAAGGUAUUCCGCUCUCUACUAUUGAUUGCUAUGAAGGCAAAAUCGAACAAUUUUUUAACAAAAUUGGUCUUAAAUGUACUGAUUUUGUACCUUAA